UGAGUAACACGUAUGCAACCUGCCUGCCACAGCCGGAUAAUCGGGAGAAAUUCCGUCUAAUACGGCAUAAUGCAUCGACGGGACAUCCUGUUGGUGCCAAAGGUUGAUUCCGGUGGCGGAUGGGCAUGCGUCGCAUUAGUUAGUUGGCGGUGUAACGGACCACCAAGACGACGAUGCGUAGGGGUUCUGAGAGGAAGGUCCCCCACACUGGUACUGAGGCACGGACCAGACUCCUACGGAAGGCAGCAG
rnacentral:rRNA from 1 species